GCUUGUCUCAAAGAUUAAGCCAUGCAUGUCUAAGUAUAAGCAACUAUACGGUGAAACUGCGAAUGGCUCAUUAAAUCAGUUAUCGUUUAUUUGAUAGUACCUUACUACUUGGAUAACCGUGGUAAUUCUAGAGCUAAUACAUGCUAAAAACCCCAACUUCGGAAGGGGUGUAUUUAUUAGAUGGAAACCAAUGCGGGGCAACCCGGAUUCUGGUGAUUCAUAAUAACUUUCGGAUCGAUCCUCGGAUCGAUGCAUCAUUCAAGUUUCUGCCCUAUCAGCUUUGGAUGGUAGGGUAUUGGCCUACCAUGGCUUUAACGGGUAACGGAGAAUUAGGGUUCGAUUCCGGAGAGGGAGCCUGAGAAAUGGCUACCACAUCCAAGGAAGGCAGCAGG
rnacentral:rRNA from 1 species